ensembl:piRNA 21ur-12704 ncRNA
UUUGGAGCUUCAACUAUGGAU